UCCCUAGCGUUAUCAUCUUUUAAGAGAGACGGAGAGAGGAAGUAGUUGGACUAACAAAGAUGGCCUCCUCUGCAACUCCCUCCACUCUCAUGCUAUCCCAUGGCCGCUUCCUCUCUUCUUCCCCAACACCUCUCCCCCUCUCUCUCCUUCAAACCCAAACCACGCUUCUUCAACUUCUCCAACACUUUCUCUCUCUUCCCACUUGUCUUACAUUUCACACACAGAAAAUCCAACAAUUGGAUUGAUGUUUCUUCUCCCAAUUCCCAGUUGUUGUGGCCGCUUUGGCUGCUGAAGCAGAGCUAGCAGAAGAAACUGAACAACUCCAAGAGGGUGUUGUUGUUACCCCAACUAAGACCAAGAAAGGCAAAGCUGCAUUGCCUCGUAACAGUGACAGAAGGAGGUCUAAUAGAUUCUUGGAAAUUCAAAAAUUGAGGGAAAACAAGAAAGAGUAUGACUUAAAAACAGCAAUAUCAUUGCUCAAGCAAAUGGCGAGCACAAAGUUUGUCGAAACAGCUGAAGCUCAUUUCCGUCUCAACAUUGACCCAAAAUACAAUGAUCAACAGCUGAUGGCAACAGUGAAUUUACCCAAGGGAACUGGACAGACAGUUAGAGUGGCUGUUCUCACUCAAGGAAUCACGAAUAAGGGGGAAAGGUUGUAACAUUCUGUUCUGGGAGACUGCUCGAGCGAUUAAGUGGUUGCUCGAGCGGUGAUUCGAGGCUCCCAGUAUCUUGCCUGUUUACAGGCGAGACCGUUCGAGCAGUCAAGUCUUCACUUGAGCGUAGAUGUGAGGCUCCCAGUACUUUCAUUGUAGACCUGCAAAACUUCUGGGAUAUUGUAUUUACCGCUAAUGAAGUGUUUCGCUCGAGCGGUAUGUUUGAAAUCUCUUCAUCACUCCCAUUCUUGCAGUCUUCAUAGACGACAUAUACAUCUUUGAAGUAGAGAGGAGGUAGAGGAAUAAAUUGCAAUAUGAGCAAUCAAAAGUACCAGUCAAUGUAGAUGAAAAAAUUGGUGAAGGGUCGGAGAUGCUCUAACUUGAUGAAGGUUGAAGAUGAAGAGGCCAAAUUAAUUUCUAUUGAAAAACAAGAGAAUUCCAUUUCAAGUGUUCUCACUGUUGGUCUCUUGCCAACCAACUACUGUAUUCUUCUUCGUAGAGGGAUUUGGGGUCUAUGUUCGGAAUUUAAGCAAUUUUUCUGCUUAAGUGGUGAUGUCUAUGGAUGACAGUGUGGUUUAAGGGUUCUUUAAUUUGAAGUUCUAUUUCUUUUUUUCUGCUCUUCCAAAGCUGAAUGUUCAAUACAUUCAUUUAUCUGCUUUGCCCCAACUACUGCUAUCCUUGGGAAGCCAAAAGAGCUUCCAAAGGAUGGUAUCAACUCUUUCAAUCAUUUUCUGCUGCGUCCAGUGAAGUAAAUGUUGCAUCUGAUUUAAAGAAAUGUUGCAUCUUGUUGAAGACCGAAAGAAGGUUUGAUGAAUCUAGAUAUGAAGUGGCUUGAUGAUUCUGUAUUGUUGUUGUUGUUUCCUUGGUUUUGGUCGUGCUGCUUCUUUUAUUAAACUCUAUUUGCUUUUGUGCAUGUGUCACAUAUAAAUGCUCAGUCGUAAAUUGACAGGUUUUAUGCUGAUGCUACUAUUGUUGUUGCUUUGGCUUUCUGGCCUUUCUGUGCAGCUAUUGCCAUCUUCUUAUGGUCUGUAUGUUGUGUCUGUUGUACAUAUGUUCAUGUCAGAUGUAAACGAGGCCUACAUUGACUAAACGGUAUUGUCCUCAUCUUUUGCUUGCUUAGAUGAUUCCCAUGUUUGUGUUGUCCGUGUAUGCUCCUUGUACUAUGUAUUUACUUUUGAUCUUUGGUAUAUAUUGACUUACCCAAAAAAAUGAUGUUUUGUUCAUCAAAUAAUCUGAGUGUUGAAAUUUGAUUCGUAUUAUUUGGCUUCAGUUGCAGUCAGCAUAUUUUCACAUUUUGCAGCAAUAGAGAGUGAGUGAGUAAGUGAUGAGGCAAACUAAAGAUUCAAGUAUCUAAGACUUACAAGUUCUGCCAAGGGGAUGUCCACCUAGAGAAUUUUUUUUCUAAAAGAGAAGGGUGAAAAGAUUUCACCUUCUAAACUCAAAUCAUAUGAACAAAGUUACUGUAUAAAUUAGUAAUUCUGUGCCUGAAAUGGCAAAGGAAACUAGAGAAUACUUCAUAAUCUUUCAACAGCCUCCUCAGCCCUGCCUACUAUAAGUUUAAUGUGAGUCUUUCUGUCAAAACAAAUCGAGCCAAUAAACAUUGAACACUAACCCUGUGACUAUAAUUACAGUGUGCGUAAUCUCAUAUGAUGAAAGAUUCAUUACAUAGAUUUAUGGUUCUGGGUAGUUCUAAUCUAAAAAUUAAGAAUGAAGCUCUCUUGAUUAAGUGGUGGUGCAGGUUUGCAUCUGAGCCAAAUCCCCUUCGGAAAAGAGUGAUUUGUGAAAAGAUAAAUUGGGACAACAAGAGAUGGGAUAUUUUAUUUCUUAAAGGAUAAUGCAGUUUUUUUUGUUUUUGUUUUUGUUUUUUCUGAACAUGUCCCCAAUAAUGUGCUACUAAAAUUAGGAAAUGGAAUGAGAUUUCUCUUUUUGUUUGAUAAAUGGGUGUCUGAUGUAACAAAGAUGGUCUCAUUAAUGAUUUCAUCAUUAUGAGUAUGUCAUAGAGACAGAUUUUCUUGGUAUGGGAGGAGGAGGAAGACCAUCAUAGGUUGUUGCAAAUGCUGCCACAGGUUGAUCAGGUUAACGCCAAUCAAUGGAUCAAUUAAUUUUGAGAGUGGAUCCAUCAGGUAACUUCUCACUAAAAUCUUUACAAGACCUGUUUACCUCAUCUCAAUGUUGUAUUAUUCCUACAAUAGAAUUUGUGGAAAAGCAUUGCCCCCUUUGGAAUUGUUGAUUUUGCUUGGCUAGUCCGGCACAAAAGGAUUACCAUUUGUGAUCUUUUGAUUAAAAUGAAUUCUCUGGAUGAAUCCUGUUCUAGGCUCUGUUAAUAUUUGUGCGAAUGAGUUACUCCGUAGAAGAUCUUGGAAAAUUUGGGUUGAUUGUUUGUCUUGGUGGGGAAUGGAAUGAGUUUGUUUUUCAUCAGUUAGUGCCUUACUUGAUUGGUGGUUUGGAAUAAAAUUCAAGAAUGUCAAAAAGCUCUUAUGGGAGGCUAUAAUCAUCCAUGACAGUUUUUUGGACCAUUUGGAAAACCAGAAAUAACCUUAUCUUUAGUAAUGGUUUAGCUUCUUGGGAAAAUGCCUUGGAGUUAAUUAAAGAUAAAUUUGCAACUCAGGUAAAAGGAUAUUGAAAUAUCCCUUGCUAUACAGUUGCUGAUUUAAUCUUAAAGAUGAAAGAAAUCAGAGGCCUACACUUCCCUUUAAAAGGUGAAGGACUAUUGUGAUUUGCUAGGUUAGGCAAAUGUGGAUUUUCAAGUUUUCCCUCGACAAGGAUCUGCUUGGUUCUCUUAGUUCUUAGUGGUGUUAAUGGCAAUUCAGCUUUGGAUGAUGAAAAGAACUGAUUCAAUAUUGGAAGAUGGAUGAGAGUGGGAUUGGAUUGCAAGAUGGCGUGGAAUGAAAUACUCAUCCUCACUCUGCUGGUUGGUUUCUAACAUUGAAUGACGUGGAAAUGGAACAUCCAUUCUUAUUCCCAUGUUUUUUUUAACACUUGUUAAGCUACUGUAGUGUAUUGAAAAUUCUAAACCAAAACACUGUUCAAAGAGAAAAAUUCUAAACCAAAACUGAUGUAUGCUAGUAGGAAUUGAAAACAAUCCUUAACACAAGGUAAUUUUUCGUCUUCAGUAAACUGAAAUGAACCAUUUAAUUGUCAGACAAACUUUCUUCUACAGAAGGAGUACCUAAAAAUUGAGUCAGUUAGAUUAGUUAAGAUUAAAAAUCUUACUCUUGAUUGGUUAAAAUUCCAAAUAAAUGAGUUAUCCAUCUCGUGUGGACUCAGCUAAUGUCUAUAUAUAGCUCUCAUAAAGUCUGUGAGUCCAUAGUGUAAAAGCUUUUCUGGUUGGUUUUGUGGCUCAUUUUCGUUACUAAUGUUCCCCAUAUAUCAGUGACCAUGUUUUGAGAACUAACUUUCAAAAGGUUAUAAACACGAAGGAAGGAAACUCGCAGAAAUCAUCCAAAGUUUUGGAGCUCAGCAUCAUCGAGAAACUUAACUAGUUGCUGUCUUGGCAGCCACUAUGAGGCAUUUGGCUCAAUUGCCUAUGUAUGUCAUUCAUGGUUCUACUUUGUAUUGUUCGGAAAGGCUUUUUUGGUUUUCAUGGUUAAUUGAGAGCCGUCAAAAUAGUGUAAUUUUUUAUUUUUUAUUUUUAAUUCUGAUGCUUCACCUUUAUUUUAGUACUAAUUUUACCCUCUAUUAUAUUAGUUUCUUUUUCAAGCAGUUCAUUAAGAGUCUUGAGCUAGAUAGAUAAUGCCAUUGAGACUUGGGUUUUCUCUUUUCCAUGGAAAUUGUAAUAGUAAAUUUCUAGUUUGUAUAUUGUUGUGGCAUGUGGUGUUUAUCCAACUCGGGUUGUGUCUCUUUUCAGUUUCAAUUGGCAUAGUCUGUGGACCUUCUUUCACAUUUUAUGGUAUCACGACAUGUAACAUUUUAGAAACCAUGAGUUUGAUCGGUA